rnacentral:rRNA from 1 species
UACGUAGGUGGCAAGCGUUGUCCGGAUUUAUUGGGCGUAAAGGGCGCGCAGGCGGUUCGUUUAGUCCGAGGUGAAAUCUCCCGGCUCAACUGGGAGGGGUCUUUGGAUACUGGCGGACUUGAGGUGAGCAGAGGUGAGCGGAAUUCUGGGUGUAGUGGUGAAAUGCGUAGAUAUCCAGAGGAACACCAGUGGCGAAGGCGGCUCACUGGGCUCCACCUGACGCUGAGGCGCGAAAGCUGGGGGAGCAAACGGG